rnacentral:rRNA from 1 species
UGGCGGCGUGCUUAACACAUGCAAGUCGUGGGGGGGUAGCAAUACCUCACCGGCGAACGGGUGCGUAACACGUGAGCAACCUACCGAGAUGUGGGGGAUAGCCGGCCCAACGGCCGGGUAAUACCGCAUACGCUCUCUUUGGGGAUUCUCAGAGAGAGGAAACCUCCGGGACAUUUCGAGGGGCUCGCGGCCUAUCAGCUAGUUGGCGGGGUAACGGCUCACCAAGGCUAUGACGGAUAGCUGGUCUGAGAGGAUGGCCAGCCACAUUGGGACUGAGAGACGGCCCAGACUCCUACGGGAGGCAGCAGUGGGGAAUCUUGCGCAAUGGUCGAAAGACUGACGCAGCGACGCCGCGUGCGGGAGGACGCUCUUCGGGGUGUAAACCGCUGUUGCCCGGAACGAAACGCCAUUUUCGAGUGGCUUGACGGUACCGGGUGAGGAAGCGCCGGCUAACUCUGUGCCAGCAGCCGCGGUAAUACAGAGGGUGCAAGCGUUAAUCGGAAUGACUGGGCGUAAAGGGUGCGUAGGUGGUUGCUUAAGUUAGAUGUGAAAGCCCCGGGCUUAACCUGGGAAUUGCACCUAAUACUGAGCAGCUUGAGUAGAAUAGAGGGGAGUGGAAUUUCCGGUGUAGCGGUGGAAUGCGUAGAUAUCGGAAGGAACACCAGUGGCGAAGGCGGCUCCCUGGAUUCA